AAUGAACGCUGGCGGCGUGCCUAAUACAUGCAAGUCGAACGACCAGAUAGUAAGAUUGCUCCUUUGACGUUAGCGGCUGACGGGUGAGUGACGCAUAGAUAAGCUUCUUCUUAGUCUGGGAUAACUUCGGGAAACAACUUAUGAUACCACAUCAUAUAAUGUACCGCAUGGAUCAAUAGUUCUUGACAGUUUUCCUGUCUCAUAUAGCUGAUGUCGCAUUGGCUAGUUGACUGGGUAAAGGCCCACCAAGGCGACGAACCGUAGCUGAUCUGAGAGGAUGAUCAGCCACACUGGAACUGAGACACGGUCCAGACUCCUACGGGAGGCAGCAGUAGGGAAUCUUCGACAAUGGGCGCAAGCCUGACGCAGCAAUGCCGCGUGGGUGAUGAAGGUCUUCGGGUUGUAAAGCUCUUUUGUUGGGAAAGAACAAAAGCAGAAUAAACUCUCGCUGUCUUGACGGUACCCAAACAAUAAGCCCCGGCUAACUUCGUG
rnacentral:rRNA from 1 species